CAUAUCACGUUGAAAUACCGGUUCUCGUCCGAUCACUGAAGUUAAGCAACGUUGGGACUGAGCAAUACCUAGACGGCUGACCGCUUGUAAAUAUGAGGCGCUGUAAG